rnacentral:rRNA from 1 species
GAUGAACGCUGGCGGCGUGCCUAAUACAUGCAAGUCGAGCGAACAGACGAGGAGCUUGCUCCUCUGACGUUAGCGGCGGACGGGUGAGUAACACGUGGAUAACCUACCUAUAAGACUGGUAUAACUUCGGGACACCGGAGCUAAUACCGGAUAAUAUAUUGAACCGCAUGGUUCAAUAGUGAAAGACGGUUUUGCUGUCACUUAUAGAUGGAUCCGCGCCGUAUUAGCUAGUUGGUAAGGUAACGGCUUACCAAGGCAACGAUGCGUAGCCGACCUGAGAGAGUGGUCGGCCACACUGGAACUGAGACACGGUCCAGACUCCUACGGGAGGCAGCAGUAGGGAAUCUUCCGCAAUGGGCGAAAGCUUGACGGAGCAACGCCGCGUGAGUGAUGAAGGUCUUCGGAUCGUAAAACUCUGUUAUUAGGGAAGAACAAAUGUGUAAGUAACUAUGCACGUCUUGACGGUACCUAAUCAGAAAGCCACGGCUAACUACGUG